GACGAACGCUGGCGGCGUGCUUAACACAUGCAAGUCGAACGAUGAAGCCUAGCUUGCUAGGUGGAUUAGUGGCGAACGGGUGAGUAAUACGUGAGUAACCUACCUUUAACUCUGGGAUAAGCCCGGGAAACUGGGUCUAAUACCGGAUACGACCAAUCUCCGCAUGGGGUGUUGGUGGAAAGCGUUAUGUAGUGGUUAUAGAUGGGCUCACGGCCUAUCAGCUUGUUGGUGAGGUAACGGCUCACCAAGGCGACGACGGGUAGCCGGCCUGAGAGGGUGACCGGCCACACUGGGACUGAGACACGGCCCAGACUCCUACGGGAGGCAGCAGUGGGGAAUAUUGCACAAUGGGCGCAAGCCUGAUGCAGCGACGCCGCGUGAGGGAUGACGGCCUUCGGGUUGUAAACCUCUGUUAGCAGGGAAGAAGAGAGAUUGACGGUACCUGCAGAGAAAGCGCCGGCUAACUACGUGCCAGCAGCCGCGGUAAUACGUAGGGCGCGAGCGUUGUCCGGAAUUAUUGGGCGUAAAGAGCUUGUAGGCGGUUUGUCGCGUCUGCUGUGAAGGCCGGGGCUUAACCCCGUGUAUUGCAGUGGGUACGGGCAGACUAGAGUGCAGUAGGGGAGACUGGAAUUCCUGGUGUAGCGGUGGAAUGCGCAGAUAUCAGGAGGAACACCGAUGGCGAAGGCAGGUCUCUGGGCUGUAACUGACGCUGAGAAGCGAAAGCAUGGGGAGCGAACAGGAUUAGAUACCCUGGUAGUCCAUGCCGUAAACGUUGGGCACUAGGUGUGGGGGACAUUCCACGUUUUCCGCGCCGUAGCUAACGCAUUAAGUGCCCCGCCUGGGGAGUACGGCCGCAAGGCUAAAGCUCAAAGAAAUUGACGGGGGCCCGCACAAGCGGCGGAGCAUGCGGAUUAAUUCGAUGCAACGCGAAGAACCUUACCAAGGCUUGACAUAUACUGGACCGCAUCAGAGAUGGUGUUUCCCUUCGGGGCUGGUAUACAGGUGGUGCAUGGUUGUCGUCAGCUCGUGUCGUGAGAUGUUGGGUUAAGUCCCGCAACGAGCGCAACCCUCGUUCUAUGUUGCCAGCACGUUAUGGUGGGGACUCAUAGGAGACUGCCGGGGUCAACUCGGAGGAAGGUGGGGAUGACGUCAAAUCAUCAUGCCCCUUAUGUCUUGGGCUUCACGCAUGCUACAAUGGCCGGUACAGAGGGUUGCGAUACUGUGAGGUGGAGCUAAUCCCUAAAAGCCGGUCUCAGUUCGGAUUGGGGUCUGCAACUCGACCCCAUGAAGUCGGAGUCGCUAGUAAUCGCAGAUCAGCAACGCUGCGGUGAAUACGUUCCCGGGCCU
rnacentral:rRNA from 1 species